UACGGAGGGUGCAAGCGUUAAUCGGAAUUACUGGGCGUAAAGCGCACGCAGGCGGUCUGUCAAGUCGGAUGUGAAAUCCCCGGGCUCAACCUGGGAGCUGCAUCCGAAACUGGCAAGCUAGAGUCUUGUAGAGGGGGGUAGAAUUCCAGGUGUAGCGGUGAAAUGCGUAGAGAUCUGGAGGAAUACCGGUGGCGAAGGCGGCCCCCUGGACAAAGACUGACGCUCAGGUGCGAAAGCGUGGGGAGCAAACAGG
rnacentral:rRNA from 1 species